rnacentral:rRNA from 1 species
UCCUAGUACGGCGAGUGACCGGGAAGAGCUCAAAUUUGAAAUCUGGCGUGCUCAGUGCGUCCGAGUUGUAAUCUAUAGAGGCGUUUUCCGUGCCGGACUGUGUCUAAGUCCCUUGGAACAGGGUAUCAAAGAGGGUGAUAAUCCCGUACUUGACACAAUGACCGGUGCUCUGUGAUACGUCUUCUACGAGUCGAGUUGUUUGGGAAUGCAGCUCAAAAUGGGUGGUGAGUUCCAUCUAAAGCUAAAUAUUGGCGAGAGACCGAUAGCGAACAAGUACCGUGAGGGAAAGAUGAAAAGCACUUUGGAAAGAGAGUUAAACAGUACGUGAAAUUGUUGAAAGGGAAACGAUUGAAGUCAGUCGUGACUGAGAGGCUCAGCCGGUUCUGCCGGUGUAUUCCCCUCAGUCGGGUCAACAUCAGUUUUGUUCGGUGGAUAAGGGCAGCUGGAAGGUGGCACCUCCGGGUGUGUUAUAGCCAGCUGUCGCAUACAUCGAAUGAGACUGAGGAAUGCAGCUCGCCUUUAUGGCCGGGGUUCGCCCACGUCCGAGCUUAGGAUGUUGACAUAAUGGCUUUAAACGACCCGUCUAAAAC